GCUCACUUAUCGUUCUCACAAACCUCGUCAGAGUCUAUGUUAUAGCUGACUACAAAUAUAUAACCUAUUUUUCUUAUCUCAUCGACCUAAAUAGUAUCCUGAUAUGUAGCACGUAUACCAUCUACAUAACCUUACAGUUAUCACUCUACCAGUUCAUGGCGAGCUACACUAAACGGUCGCUCAACUAACCAGCAUCUUCAAUUAUGUUAGACCAUUUAGACCAUUGGACGGAGUAUGGAGGCUCGCCAUAGAUGUAUUCCCAAUGCCGCUUAUUCCAACUCGAUUCGCACCUCGUUUCAACUAGAGAAGAAAUGGAUCGACCAGGUUGGGCAAGAAGAGAUCGAUCGACCUGUUGUUCUCAUCCAAAGUAGAACAGCAAGAACAUUAGAAACUAUAUAUGCCCAACUGAUUAGGCGUGUGUAUGAACUGUGGAAGAAGUGAGCUGGUGAUAGGCUCCUAUAUGGACAGCGUG
rnacentral:lncRNA from 1 species